UGGCUUCCAGACCAACAGAAAGUAAAUAUUUUAACACUCUUGACCAAUAAGUGAGAGAAACAAAAUGGCUGCUGUCAGGAUCAACCUACAUAAGACAGAGAAUCAAUGUUUAAAUGAAUUUAUGAAACUCUUCAGGUGAAUAACCAGGUUCAUGUGACUGGUACAUGUUCGUGCUGCAGUAAAUAUCACUAAUAUUUAUCUUAGUAUUACACAGAGGUGAGUACUCUAUAAUUGUCUAAUAGUUGUUUCCUUGACAACGGCCUUCAGGUCAUCUGCACUGCUCCUGUUGAUAAUACUCCUAUGGGGUUCAGGUCAGAUCAAUUCACCAAUCGAUCAAUUAACUGAAAGGUUAUUGAAGCAGCUUUUGGUAUGCUGGGCAGUGUGGGCCUGCUGGAAAAUUAAAUCAGCAUCUCCAUAAAGUUUUUCAGCAGACGGAAGCCUGAAGAGCUCUGGGAUGUCCUGGUAGAUGUCCGAGUUGACUGCAGAAAACCCAGUGGACCAGAACCAGUAGAUGAUCCGUCACCCAGUUUGUCACCGACUGUAGAAACGUCACACUUGGCUUCAAAACUCUUGAUGCGUUGACUCCAGGUGAAGCUUCUUAGGUGGAUUAGUUGGUGGCACACCUUCUUUUUUUAACCACACUUUUUUCUUCCACUAAACUUUCUAUAAUAAGAUGGAUGUCAGCACUUUGUGAACAACUAGCUUCUUUAGCAACAAACCUUUUCGACCGCUACAAGAGAAAAGCCAUCACUAUCUACAAUAACUCUUUGAAGAAUCGGAAUUAAUACGAGUUACAGUAACAUUUAAUUUCCUUUUGGGAUCAAUAAAGUACUUUUGAAUUUUAUUUUACCUCCCUAACUGUAGAAGUUACACGUAUUACAAAUCCAUAUAAGCCUUAAAAUAAAUUGGUUGAGUCACCAUAAUUUAUGUCCCAAGUCAUCAAAAGCAGAAUAAAAACACAAUAAAGUUGGGAUAAAAUGGGAUUUUCUACACUUUUUGCUUCAUUAAAAGCAUUUUAAGACUUCAAAAUUAUUUUAAACCAAAGGUGCAAAUUAAUUUUUUCAUUAGAAAGCAAAUGCAUAAACAAGUAUGAAGUUCCAGAGAGCCACCACCAGAGGGCGCUCAUUGCUAAUUUAUCAACAAUAACAGCUGUUGCUACUUUUUGCUAUUUUUCCCUCAGAAAUUCUUAAAAAUACAAGGUUUAAAAUGAAGUAGUGGUGAAAACUAUGCAAAUAAUCAUGUUUUCUUAACAGUGAAUGUUUAACUGUCACUAUAAUCCUAACACACAAAGAAGUGAAAACAUUUUCCCAUCUAUAGGAGAUGUAAAUAAACAAAUACCUGCUGUGUGAAGGAUUUACGUCAACAUCUCUGUCCAGAUGAAGCUUUAAACAUCGUACCGCCGCCACAUCAGGGGCCACAGCUGCCGAUUAGUCGCAUCUUGUUUACACCAGGGGCCGAAGAUUUGUGUGACCUAUUUGCUAAAAAAGCCCAGGAGGCAGAGAAAAGCAAACUGCGAAAACAUGAGUUUACAAAGGUUUUAAAAAGGAAAGAAGACAAAACGAAUGUUUCAGGAAAAGCUGCGUAUUGUUUAGAGACAGAUUAAUCAGUAAUAUGAUGAUUGAUGAGCUAAAUUUAAAAGUAUAAAAAAUUAAUUUGUCCAUUUUUUAAAUCUAAAAGAAGCUAUUAUGACAUU